rnacentral:tRNA from 1 species
GUGGCUCAGUGGUAGAACAUUUGAUUAAAAUGCAUGAGGCCUGGGUUCAAUUCCCAGC